GAUGAACGCUAGCGGCAGGCUUAAUACAUGCAAGUCGAGGGACAGCACAGGUAGCAAUACUGGGUGGUAACCGGCAAACGGGUGCGGAACACGUACACAACCUUCCUUUAAGUGGGGGAUAGCCCAGAGAAAUUUGGAUUAAUACCCCGUAAUAUAGUUGAAUGGCAUCAUUUGAUUAUUAUAGCUACGGCGCUUAAUGAUGGGUGUGCGGCUGAUUAGAUAGUUGGCGGGGUAACGGCCCACCAAGUCUACGAUCAGUAGCUGAUGUGAGAGCAUGAUCAGCCACACGGGCACUGAGACACGGGCCCGACUCCUACGGGAGGCAGAAGUAAGGAAUAUUGGUCAAUGGACGCAAGUCUGAACCAGCCAUGCCGCGUGAAGGAUUAAGGUCCCCUGGAUUGUAAACUUCUUUUAUUUGGGACGAAAAAGGGCCUUUCUAGGUCAACUGACGGUACCAGAUGAAUAAGCACCGGCUAACUCCGUGCCAGCCGCCGCCGUAAUAC
rnacentral:rRNA from 1 species